rnacentral:rRNA from 1 species
CGCAACCCUUGUCCUUAGUUACCAGCACGUUAUGGUGGGCACUCUAAGGAGACUGCCGGUGACAAACCGGAGGAAGGUGGGGAUGACGUCAAGUCAUCAUGGCCCUUACGGCCUGGGCUACACACGUGCUACAAUGGUCGGUACAAAGGGUUGCCAAGCCGCGAGGUGGAGCUAAUCCCAUAAAACCGAUCGUAGUCCGGAUCGCAGUCUGCAACUCGACUGCGUGAAGUCGGAAUCGCUAGUAAUCGUGAAUCAGAAUGUCACGGUGAAUACGUUCUCGGGCCUU